rnacentral:rRNA from 1 species
GGGGGAUCUUGCGCAAUGGGCGAAAGCCUGAUCCAGCGACGCCGCGUGAGUGAUGAAGGCCUUCGGGUUGUAAAGCUCUGUUGAGGGAGAAGAAAACAGUUAGAGCGAACAGGUCUAACUCUUGACGGUAUCCCUUUAGAAAGCACCGGCUAACUGUGUGCCAGCAGCCGCGGUAAGACAGAGGGUGCAAACGUUGCUCGGAAUUACUGGGCGUAAAGCGCGUGUAGGCGGGCUUGUAAGUUGGACGUGAAAGCCCUGGGCUCAACCCAGGAAUUGCAUCCAAAACUACAAGUCUAGAGUGAUGGAGAGGGUCGCAGAAUUCCUGGUGUAGAGGUGAAAUUCGUAGAUAUCAGGAGGAACACCGGUGGCGAAGGCGGCGACCUGGACAUUAACUGACGCUGAGACGCGAAAGCGUGGGGAGCAAA